AUUGAACGCUGGCGGCAGGCCUAACACAUGCAAGUCGAACGGUAACAGGAAACAGCUUGCUGUUUCGCUGACGAGUGGCGGACGGGUGAGUAAUGUCUGGGAAACUGCCUGAUGGAGGGGGAUAACUACUGGAAACGGUAGCUAAUACCGCAUAACGUCGCAAGACCAAAGAGGGGGACCUGCGGGCCUCUUGCCACCGGAUGCGCCCAGAUGGGAUUAGCUAGUAGGUGGGGUAACGGCUCACCUAGGCGACGAUCCCUAGCUGGUCUGAGAGGAUGACCAGCCACACUGGAACUGAGACACGGUCCAGACUCCUACGGGAGGCAGCAGUGGGGAAUAUUGCACAAUGGGCGCAAGCCUGAUGCAGCCAUGCCGCGUGUAUGAAGAAGGCCUUCGGGUUGUAAAGUACUUUCAGCGGGGAGGAAGGGAGUAAAGUUAAUACCUUUGCUCAUUGACGUUACCCGCAGAAGAAGCACCGGCUAACUCCGUGCCAGCAGCCGCCGCGG
rnacentral:rRNA from 1 species